rnacentral:rRNA from 1 species
UGCGUAGGUGGUUGUAUAAGUUAUCUGUAAAAGCCCUGGGCUCAACCUGGGAAGGCCAGAUAAAAACUGUAUGACUCGAGUAUAGGAGAGGGUAGUGGAAUUUCCGGUGUAGCGGUGAAAUGCGUAGAGAUCGGAAGGAACACCAGUGGCGAAGGCGGCUACCUGGCCUAAUACUGACACUGAGGCACGAAAGCGUGGGGAGAAAC